rnacentral:rRNA from 1 species
GGGUCAGUAGGUUGGUCGUGCCACCGGUACGUACUGGUCUCGCUGACUCCUCCUUCCUGAAGAACCGUAAUGCCAUUAAUUUGGUGUUGCGGGGAAACAGGACUGUUACUUUGAAAAAAUUAGAGUGUUUAAAGCAAGCUAACGCUUGAAUACAUUAGCAUGGAAUAAUGAAAUAGGACGAUCGAUCCUAUUUUGUUGGUUUCUAGGAUUGACGUA